rnacentral:rRNA from 1 species
CCUACGGGGGGCUGCAGUCGAGGAUCUUCGGCAAUGAGCGCAAGCUUGACCGAGCGACGCCGCGUGUGCGAUGAAGGCCUUCGGGUUGUAAAGCACUGUCGAGGGGGAUCAAGGGCAACUUGAGUGAUCCCUGGAGGAAGCACGGGCUAAGUUCGUGCCAGCAGCCGCGGUAAGACGAACCGUGCGAACGUUGUUCGGAAUCACUGGGCUUAAAGGGCGCGUAGGCGGCUUGCCAAGUCGGGGGUGAAAUCCGGCAGCUUAACUGUCGAAGUGCCUUCGAUACUGGCGAGCUCGAGGGAGGUAGGGGUCUGUGGAACUUCUGGUGGAGCGGUGAAAUGCGUUGAUAUCAGAAGGAACGCCGGUGGCGAAAGCGACGGACUGGACCUCUUCUGACGCUGAGGCGCGAAAGCUAGGGGAGCAAACGGGAUUAGAUACCCUUGUAGUC